rnacentral:rRNA from 1 species
UGGGGAAUAUUGCACAAUGGGCGCAAGCCUGAUGCAGCCAUGCCGCGUGUAUGAAGAAGGCCUUCGGGUUGUAAAGUACUUUCAGUCGGGAGGAAGGUGUCAAGGUUAAUAACCUUGGCAAUUGACGUUACCGACAGAAGAAGCUCCGGCUAACUCCGUGCCAGCAGCCGCGGUAAUACGGAGGGUGCAAGCGUUAAUCGGAAUUACUGGGCGUAAAGCGCACGCAGGCGGUUGAUUGAGUCAGAUGUGAAAUCCCCGGGCUUAACCCGGGAAUUGCAUCUGAUACUGGUCAGCUAGAGUCUUGUAGAGGGGGGUAGAAUUCCAUGUGUAGCGGUGAAAUGCGUAGAGAUGUGGAGGAAUACCGGUGGCGAAGGCGGCCCCCUGGACAAAGACUGACGCUCAGGUGCGAAAGCGUGGGGAGCAAACAGG